GCUAGGCAUGAUGGCGCAUGCCUAUAAACCCAGCAACUCAGGAGGCUGAGACAGGAGGAUCACAAGUCUGAGGCUAGCCUCAGCAAAUCAGCAAAGACCUCAGCAAUUUAGUGAGACACUGUCUCAA
rnacentral:sRNA from 1 species